GUGAAUCAUCGAAUUUUUGAACGCAAAUUGCACUCUCCUCGGAGAGUAUGCCUGUUUGAGUGUCAGCCUCUAAAAAUCGACAUCGCUGCUGUUUCGCGGUGGCGUUCGUCGGAAAUUGGGGCAUCUUAAAUCCUCUUGUUUUAAUCGAAUUAAAAUUUUCUUUUGUUUCCAUGAACGUUUCUAAGAUCUAUUUCUUUACACGUUUAAGGUAUAUUUUUUUACUAGACGCGACUAUCAUAUUUGAUCGCGUCCAU
rnacentral:misc_RNA from 1 species